ACCGCAUGGUGCAGGGGUAAAAACUCCGGUGGUACAGGAUGGACCCGCGUCUGAUUAGCUGGUUGGUGAGGUAACGGCUCACCAAGGCGACGAUCAGUAGCCGGCUUGAGAGAGUGAACGGCCACAUUGGGACUGAGACACGGCCCAAACUCCUACGGGAGGCAGCAGUGGGGAAUAUUGCACAAUGGGGGAAACCCUGAUGCAGCGACGCCGCGUGAGUGAAGAAGUAUCUCGGUAUGUAAAGCUCUAUCAGCAGGGAAGAGAAUGACGGUACCUGACUAAGAAGCCCCGGCUAACUACGUGCCAGCAGCCGCGGUAAUACGUAGGGGGCAAGCGUUAUCCGGAAUUACUGGGUGUAAAGGGUGCGUAGGUGGUAUGGCAAGUCAGAAGUGAAAACCCAGGGCUUAACUCUGGGACUGCUUUUGAAACUGUCAGACUGGAGUGCAGGAGAGGUAAGCGGAAUUCCUAGUGUAGCGGUGAAAUGCGUAGAUAUUAGGAGGAACAUCAGUGGCGAAGGCGGCUUACUGGACUGAAACUGACACUGAGGCACGAAAGCGUGGGGAGCAAACAGGAUUAGAUACCCUGGUAGUCCACGCCGUA
rnacentral:rRNA from 1 species